UACGUAGGGCGCAAGCGUUAUCCGGAAUCACUGGGCGUAAAGAGCUCGUAGGCGGUCUUGUAAGUCGCAUGUUAAAUCCCCGGGCUUAACCCGGGAACUGCGCGCGAUACUGCAAGGCUAGAGGUCGGGAGAGGAAUGCGGAAUUCCAGGUGUAGCGGUGAAAUGCAUAGAUAUCUGGAAGAACACCAGUGGCGAAGGCGGCAUUCUGGACCGAUUCUGACGCUGAGGAGCGAAAGCCAGGGUAG
rnacentral:rRNA from 1 species